rnacentral:rRNA from 1 species
AGUGAACGCUGGCGGUAGGCCUAACACAUGCAAGUCGAACGGCAGCACAGUAAGAGCUUGCUCUUACGGGUGGCGAGUGGCGGACGGGUGGGGAAUAGAUCGGAAUCUACUUUUUCGUGGGGGAUAACGUAGGGAAACUUACGCUAAUACCGCAUACGACCUACGGGUGAAAGCAGGGGAUCUUCGGACCUUGCGCGAUUGAAUGAGCCGAUGUCGGAUUAGCUAGUUGGCGGGGUAAAGGCGCACCAAGGCGACGAUCCGUAGCUGGUCUGAUAGGAUGAUCAGCCACACUGGAACUGAGACACGGUCCAGACUCCUACGGUAGGCAGCAGUAGGGAAUAUUGGACAAUGGGCGCAAGCCUGAUCCAGCCAUACCGCGUGGGUGAAGAAGGCCUUCGGGUUGGAAAGCCCUUUUGUUGGGAAAGAAAAGCAGCAGGUUAAUACCCCGCUGUUCUGACGGUACCCAAAGAAUAAGCACCGGCUAACUUCGUG